rnacentral:rRNA from 1 species
UACGUAGGCAGCAGGCGUUGUUCGGAAUUACUGGGCGUAAAGAGUGUGUAGGCGGUGCUCUAAGUCUGUUGUGAAAUCUCCCGGCUUAACUGGGAGGGUGCGGCGGAGACUGGAGUGCUAGAGUGUGGGAGAGGUAAGCGGAAUUCCUGGUGUAGCGGUGAAAUGCGUAGAUAUCAGGAGGAACACCUGUGGUGUAGACAGCUUACUGGACCACGACUGACGCUGAGACACGAAAGCGUGGGUAGCAAACAGG